UAAAAAGUUUAACCUGCCCACUGAUUAAUAAAUAUUAAAUGGCCGCGGUAUCCUGACCGUGCAAAGGUAGCAUAAUCGUUAGUUUUUUAAUUGGAAUCUUGUAUGAAUGGUUGGACAAAAGAAAAACUGUCUUUGUAUUGAUUAUUGAAUUUUACUUCUAAGUGAAAAGGCUUAGAUAGUUUAAUGGGACGAUAAGACCCUAUAAAGCUUAAUAUUAAAAUUUUAUUUGAUUAAAUUUUUUUUCAAUAAAAAUCUAAUAAUUAAAUUUAUUUUAUUGGGGCGAUAAAAGUAUAAUGUUUGAUAACUGCUUAAUUUUAAUUACACCUAUGCGUGAAUUAAUUUAUGAUUGAUCCUAAUUAAAGAUUAAAAGUUUAAGUUACUUUAGGGAUAACAGCGUUAUUUUUCUUAAGAGUGCUUAUCGAAAGAAAAGUUUGCGACCUCGAUGUUGAAUUAAAAUAUCUUUAUAAUUGCAGCAGUUAUAAAAGUAGGUCUGUUCGACCUUUAAAAUUUUACAUGAUCUGAGUUCA
rnacentral:rRNA from 1 species